GCGAAGAUACAUUGCAGCGUCCCUUCUCGCGAACGAACGAAGCAGAAAUAGUGCCACAGGAUUUCUGGAGACUUAUCCUAGCGAUCAAUUUUACUUAAAAGAAAAGGGCAGACUCAGUCGUUCAAGAAUUUACGCCAUCUUGAGUCUAUUGUGUCUUCGUUACAAUAGCGAAGUCGCAGUGAAGCAACGACGACGCCGGUUUAAAUUUUCCCAGUCAAUUUUCUCACGAUGGCACGCCUGAAUGUUACCAGACUAGUUGAUUCAGCGCGGCAAACGGAGCUAGAAGGCAGCGCCGGCGCUACGCGUCGGCUUCCCUUUCAUUUCCUUUUGGGACGCGAAGGUGAAUGGUUCUCGCGUUUCUUUCUCCAAGUUUUCAAUGUCCGCAGUCGUUUCGUUCUUCCAUUUUCAUAUAAAUGUUCCGUUCGAUCGUCACAAAGUACGCUGGCAAAUUAAAAAAGGUUCGCAGAAAGAUACGAUAGGUUAGUCAUUCAUAAAAUCGUGACUACGAGUUCCGGGAAAAUGGCUGAAUCGAUGGAGAAUAGCGUUGGCCACGUGGCGAAGCAUCUUACUCCGAAAGAGAUCGAGAGAAUGGAGGCGCAAAAUUCGCGUUUAGUUACGGAAUUUCGCGCUAAUCAACUCGAAAAGGAUUCUAAAAAACACUGGGAUUUAUUUUAUAAACGAAACGACACGAGAUUUUUCAAAGACAGACAUUGGACGACCAGAGAAUUCAACGAAUUGAUGGGCAUGGCUACCGAAGCGAAUCCGAACGUCCUUUUGGAGGUCGGUUGCGGUGUGGGAAACUUUAUAUAUCCUUUGAUAGAAGAUGGAUUAAAAUUCAAGAAAAUAUUUGCCUGUGACCUUUCACCCAGAGCAGUGGAAUUAACAAAGAAUCAUGCGUUGUACGAUCCACAUACUAUGCAUAUUUUUCAAACUGAUAUUACAAUGGAAAAUUGUUUCGCUGAUGUGGAUUGUCCCAUAAAUGCAGCCACGUUGAUAUUCGUAUUGUCCGCCAUACAUCCGAAUAAAUUUCAGAAAGUUGUGAAAAAUUUAUAUAAUAUUCUUGACAAUAAAGGAGUUGUGCUUCUAAGAGACUAUGGGCUCUAUGAUAUGGCACAAUUGAGGUUUAAACCUGGUCACAAAAUAAGUGAAAAUUUUUAUAUGAGACAAGAUGGAACAAGAACAUAUUAUUUCUCUGUAGAAGAAAUUUCAAAUCUAUUUGAAUCUAUUGGCUUUAAAACCUUAACAUGUGAUUAUGUACAGAGACGUACAAUAAAUUUGAAGGAAAAUAUUGAUGUACCUAGAGUUUUUGUCCAAGGGAAAUUUGAGAAAUCUCAAUAAUCUUGAUGUAAUGGAAACAUCACGAUCGGAUCGGGAACACCGGAAGUUAAAGAUUACCGGCACAUUUUAGUUACCGAUGAUCAUCAACGAUGCUCUUGAGACACGUAUAUAUAUGUAUAUUGAUCGAACGUAGUAGAAGCAGUAUAAUUUUUCGAUGAGAAUUAUUAUUCGGGAGACACAAGUUGAAUGAUUUCAACCAAAGAUCGACGCCAUCGGCUGGAGAAGAUACCAUGGGGAGCAUAUUUUAUUGCACUCAAUACAAUCUUGUACAUACAUAUAUAAUAAAUAAAGUAUCGUUAGAAAUACA